UUGAAUGUGCCCAGGCAAUAUCUCUUUAAAGCCUGUGACCUCACUUUUUUUUUUUAAAUUUCUGUAUUUUGUACCGUCAUCAUUUUAUGUAUCAUAAUAGGCUGUAAUAGCUAUUUUGCAAGUCUUUCUCUUCUUGCUGGACUGUCAACUCCCUCAAGGCAGGGGCCGUGUGAAAUUUAUUCAUCUUUGUAUCCAUAGUCUCUGGCACUGAGAAGGUGCUCAAUACAUAUUUGUUGGGCUCAACUGAAAUUGAGUAAGACACUUCUCCAUGUCCACCUACAGGCUGUGACUUAGAUCCACAGUUACCAGCAGGAAGGAGGUAUGGUGAAUACAUGAAUGUGUCUUAAAGUGUUCUCCAGAGGCAAGAAUUCUGGACUUUUUCCCAAGAUACCAAGUAUGUAGUCCACUCUGAUACAAACAGGAUCUCAUGAGAUAGAGUAAUAGGUAGCAAAAAAAAAAAAAUCUUUUUUGUUUUGUUACAAAUUAGGCAUUUAAGUGUGUCAUCAGAGUUUAACAAAGUGCUUUCAGAUAUGUUGUCAGGAUCAACAGGAAAAGGAAAAUACAUGCAGCAGUAGAAGCACAGCUGUCAAGUGGAAUAUCCAUGAAAUCAGACAGACAGGAGCUGAGCAGUGAUGCUGGCCUUGUAGGAGAGCAGAUUUCUCUUCAUUGGUUGCACCUCUGCUCCAUGAUGCCUCUUCACUUGUGUCUGUUAUGCCCUCCUCCUGAGAGUUGAAGGAGCUCACUUUAGAUCAAGAUUUUUGGCCCUCGGAAUCAGACCUGACUGCAUGUAAGUGAGGGUGAGAAAUAAGUUGGUUUUGCAUUUUGACGCCAUCUUUCUUCCUACAUAAUGUGGAAAUCUAGUCAUGACCCCAGGUGGCUCCAGCUUCACUCUUGCAGCUAAUGCUAGAGCAGAACUAGGAUCAUUUUAGUUUCGUGGAAUGUUUUUGGUGUCCCUACCUCCAAUCCAUUUUCCACCUAUCAUUGAAAAAGCUCAAACCAAACUGCAGUUAAGCCCCAGAUUUUUCUUUCUAGUAACCUGCUCUGCCUAGGGUACCCCACUCCAGAGUUAGUUUCCACCCAGCAGAGCCUGCUGAUUUAGAGAGUCGUUGAAGCCUUAAAGUGGAAACAUGAGUAGGCCAGGGCUUUCUGGCCUGUGGGAUGUUAGGGCUGUGAAGGAAGAACUUGCUAUCUGAUUCCAAAGAAAUGCUGAAAAUGUGACUCUUGGUGAAAAGAAAGGCAAACUCAACAUUAUUGUUCCGUGGCAUGUCAGCUGACAGUUGUACAAAGAGUCCC
rnacentral:lncRNA from 1 species